UACGAAGGGGGCUAGCGUUGCUCGGAAUCACUGGGCGUAAAGCGCACGUAGGCGGAUCUUUAAGUCAGGGGUGAAAUCCCCAGGCUUAACCUGGGAACUGCCUCUGAUACUGGAUGGCUUGAGUUUGGGAGAGGGAUGCGGAAUUCCAGGUGUAGCGGUGAAAUGCGUAGAUAUCUGGAGGAACACCGGUGGCGAAGGCGGCAUCCUGGACCAACACUGACGCUGAGGAGCGAAAGCCAGGGGAGCAAACGGG
rnacentral:rRNA from 1 species